GAUGUACUCCCUCCGUUCCAAAUUACUCGUCGCAGAAAUGGAUGUAUCUAGAACUAAAAUACAUCUAGAUACAUCCAUACCUGCGACAAGUAAUUCGGAACGGAGGGAGUACUAU
rnacentral:pre_miRNA from 1 species